CCACAUAGGAAAAUAAACUAUUGAAUUUAUCUUUAUUUUUCCCUUACUUCACCAUCUCUUUUCCCUUACCACGAGUAACUCCACUGCCAUCGCCGAAAAAUUCUUCCGGUCACCGGAAAACACCAUUAAAAUUUUUAUAGUGUUCAUUCAAUUCUAAGAGCUUUGUAGGGGUUUUAAUGAACUAACUUUGCUGCCAGUGACAUAUACGCACAAAAAGAAACAGUAAGAAAAAAAGCAAGAUAUAUGUUUUGUUUACCGUUGUUAGUCUC
rnacentral:lncRNA from 1 species